rnacentral:SRP_RNA from 1 species
UCGUGCUAGGCGGGGCGUUAGCGGUGCCCUGUCGCCCGAAAUCCGCUAUAUGCGGGGCCGAAUCCCCCACCGCGGCCAAAUCGUUCGGGUGGAUGAUCCCGGGUGGAAGGCGUCGAAGGCCGGGUCUUGUGCGACGGGCGCCUGUGAACCCCGUCAGGUCCGGAAGGAAGCAGCGGUAAGCAAUGCGUUCCGUGCGCCGCGAGGUUGCCUGGCCUGAGCCGACCUCCCUGGACGCCUCCGGAUGGGGCGGUCAAUGUGGGGUGCACGA